GCGACCCCAGGUCAGGCGGGAUU
rnacentral:ncRNA from 13 species